AGCUACGUUCAGUUUCUUGUUCUAUUUGUUGGGGAUUUCUGCUCCCCAUGCGGAACGGUGGUGUUCAUGAUCAUUACUCAAAAGAGGCUAAGCACACUGACACAAUAUUUAACGUGGUUUGGCUAAUUGCCUACAUCCACGGGAGAGAUCAAUAUUAUUAGAGAUAGAGAAAGAAUACAACACACGGAGGAGGAUCACAUCCACUCAACUCCCAUCUCUCAUUGCUACAUAGGGCAGCAGCUGCAUAUGGCAGCAGGGCUGCUGGUGGCAGCCCUUCUCUUUCUUUCUCUCUUUUGUAGCUCUACUACAAGACUCUCUCUCUCAUUUUGUGCUGCACUCUUGGUGUCUAUUUAUAGGCUUCAAUGACAGCUCCUCUUGCUCCUUUGUCAACAAUGGUGGUUGCCAAACUUACCAAACUUUGACAUUAGACAAUGGUUGUUGGCUGCCACCAACAACCCACCAUUGUAGCCUCCUUCUUUGACAAUGUCAAGAGGCUGCAAAUGCUGCACCAGCAGCUCUCUUUGACUCUCACAUGGCAGCCAUCUUCUUUGACAAUGGCAGCCAUCUGCUUUGACAAUGGCAGCCACAUAAUUGGCAAUAUUCCAACAAUCACCCCCUUUGCCAUUUAUGUUGUAAAGGCUUUCAUCGUCCCUGCCUUCCGUGGCUUUGAUCGUCACUUUGCAAAUGGAAUAUGGCAUAGGAAUAAGUGGCUUAUGGGUGCAGGAGAAAGAGUAAAAAACGUGAGGGAAGGUCUGUCUAAUUAAAGAAAAAACGUGAGGGAGGGUCUGUUUAAUUAAGGGACUUUUAUUUUAUUUUGUUCUGUUUUCGGCAAGUUCUGGGUUCAUGCUUUCUUUCUCUGUGUUUGUGAAAAUGAGAUGACAUACACGUUUCUUUUUAGUCUCAGCAUUUAAUAUAUGUUCCUUCCCGCCGUGUGAAACAAGCACGACAGUUUUCAAGAUUAGGAUACCAGAGUAUAGGUCGUGGGUCACAAACACUGUCGUAAGGUUUGGAGUUUAAAAUGUUGGCCUAAGAACUUCGGCCCCCCACGUGACCAACUUAUUCUUGUGAUGGGUUGCUAACUUUAACUGUGAUGUUUUUUUAAAUUGUUGCAAUUAAUUGUUUGCUUUAACUUCAAAAUGUUAGUUUCAGAAUUUUGGCUCCCACAUAAUGAACUGUGAUGUUUGAGUUUAAAUGGUUUCUAUAAACAGUGUUUUAAUUAAAUAUAAAAAAUAUUUUUUUGAGUGUUGCAUACGGCCAAUACCCUAACAUGUUUUUAACGUUUUUUUAUAUUAAAAAAAACAAAUAUUUGAAGUUUCGAAAAUGUGUUUUCGCAUGGAUUUCUUAAACACAACAAAAAUUAUUUUCUUGCAUUUUGGAUUUUACAACGUGUUUGUAAAUUCCAAAGGGUGUUGGCCAAUAUUCUAAAAAUAUAAAAAUCUUAUUUUUGGGAAUUUUUCUAUAUUCACUAUUAAUGUUUGGAUAAAGAAAUCCCAAAGAGGUUAAUAUCCAAAAUAUUAUUAGGAAUAAUUUGUUAUUAUUCACUACAAAUAUUUGGAUAAAGAAACCCCCAAAAAGAUGUUAAUAUUCAAAAUAUUAUUGGGAAUAAUUCGUCAUUGUUCACUGUUAAUAUUUAGAUAAAGAAACCCCCAAGGGGUAAAUAUCAAAAUAUUUUUUAGGAACAACAAAGUCAUUAUCCCUUAAUAAUAUAAGGGCAAAUAAACCUAUGAAAGGUAAAUGUCCAAAAUAUUAUUAAUAGGAAUACAACUUGUUUAUUUUUAACAUAAGGGCAGAUUUAUGCCUAAAAUUUUAUUUAGGACAAUUUAUUUGUUUAUCCUUGAAAGAAGCCUCAAUCAUAAUUGGGGACGUUUCAAAUUUUGAUUCCACGAUUUAUAAGUUAUGAAAACAUGAAAUACUAAGGCAAAAAAAUGGGCUUUUAAAGCACCUUGAAUUUCCUUAGAUUUCUAACUUAGUCUUUCUUGUUUCUCUUCCUUGCGAUUUACGAGUCACGAACACUUGAAAUACUAAGGGAAAAAUGAGCGCUUAAACUCAUUGAAUCUCCUCAGAUUUCUAUCUCAGAUGUCUCUAAAUUCAUAAAUUCUAAAUUUAUUUCAAACCAAGCUUGAUCUACACCGUUUCUCUUUGGCACUCUAUAGACAUAUCUAAAGGUAUGAUCCGUAUUGGCCAAGGCUUCUUUCCUGUAGACUGUUGCUACCCAAUUUUUGACCCAUGUUUUGAUAAAUUUUCAGAAAAUCCAAAAAUAGCAAAAAAACAUUGAAAAUCCAAAAAAUACAUUUUUAAUACAUUUGCAUCGUUUUUAGCAUUUUUAGCAUCGUCUCAAAAGAAUUUAAAUUUUCAAGACAUUUGGAACGCGUUCAACUUUUAACGCGUUGUUUUUAAAAUUAUUGAUUUUCUUCAUUGAGUUGACGUUGAUAUUACUUGUUUUCAAAAAAAAUACAAAAAAAUUAAGAAAAAUCAAAUUUACAAAAAAAAAGAAAGUUGAGGGACCAAUUUUGAGAUCCAUGCAACAUUUUACCUAUAAAUACUGGUCCACAACUCAAACAAGAGGGGGGGCAAUUUUGCAAUUAUAGGGGCAACAAAAAACCCUAGGGGCUGAACAUUUUUUUUCUCUUCUCUUCACCCGGAGCCGCCAGCCCCCCAUCCUGAUCAGAUUUUUAUCUUCUUCUCCCUCACAAGGCUGCCCCCUGGCUUGGCCAAAAAACAAGGAGAACCAAAGCCACGGCAAAAACCCCCUGCCUCUCCUCUCUUCCAAGCCGCCGUUCACAACCUCCUCCCACCGAAGAACCCAGCGGCGGCCGACAGCAGCACCACCACACAGCCAGCUUAUUCUCCUUCCUCAUCCAUAGAAGUCAGCAGCUGCUACACCUCCUGCCCCCACACCGGACUAGUCCCUUUCUUCCAGCCGUUCCUCCAGCGCCAACACACCCGAUCUCCUCAGCACCGCCACCGGGCUCAUCCUUCAACCGACCUCCAGACCAGCCCGAACACAGCGGCAGCAAAAGACAGCCCUCCUCCAGCCGUUCCCCCAGCUUCAGCAGCCGGCAGAAUCGCACUGCCAGUAACCCACCCUCAGCAAAACCCUUCAGCAACCGGUCCUCCCCCGAUCUCUUCAUCUCCAUCAACAACAAAGCCAGCCGGACGAACGACAGCAGCUCAGUGACCACAGCUGCGACCCCCUUUGCAACAGCUGGAUCGGCCACCGGAAGCAGAGAAGAAGGCGAAACUAAAAGAAGACAGAUCCAAGAGAAGAAACCGAAGCAGAUCUAAACCAAAAACCGAGAAGGAAAGGAGACAGCUGGUUGUUGCGUUUGUGUUUCUUUUUGCAGGUGACGGUGGCUCUCACCGCCGGCGUAGGAAGAAAGAGGGGAAGAAGUCGAUCCAGAUCCCCCCUGUUUCUGGAGUUCCUUGCGGCGGCGCGUGAACCCACGCGCCGCCAGUGACGGUGGUGCGUGGGAAGACGCGCCGCCACUGUUCAUGCUGUUCCAGAAGGGCUUUCCUGCAAUUUCUGGAGUUUUAGGGACUAUUUUGUAAUUUUAAAUUAUGUAAUGUAAAUUUUUUGUAGUGUUUAAUUUUUUAUAAUUUUGUAAUUUGAUGUACAAAAAAAGAAAGAAAAAGAAAAAGAAAAGAAAAGAAAACGAAAAAAUAUAGUGAAAGUGUAUGUGUGUUUUGUAUUUUUUUUAUGUACGUUAUUGAAUCAAAAAAAAAAUGAAUUUAAUAUUUUUAAUUUAUAUGCACAAAUAUCUAAAGGACAGAUAAAAAUCAUGUUGUGCUCCCUUAAAAAUGUAGAACAUGUGUCUACAUACAUUUUGGGAACUAAUAACUGAUUUAUCAAAGCCUUAGAAUUGGGCUAAAAUUUUAUUUUUAAAACGCAUCAAGUCCACGAAGCAGCUUACCUCAGGUAGGGUGCGUUAGGGGUGCUAAUACCUUCCCUAACCACAACCAGUCCCUUACUCGUGAAUCUCUGAUGAGACCGGCACACCCGGGUUUCCUAGUAGCCCUCAAUUAAAUACUAGGUGGCGACUCCCAACGAACCAAUCAAAGCAAAACGAACAACGAUAAAAUCGCCAGCCGAUGCCGCGUGCCGAUUUUUUUUUGACGUGCGACAGAAUGGCGACUCCGCUGGGGAAGGUAUUGUUUUCAACAUUAUUGGACUAAGCUUUGUGUAUUUGAUGUGUUUAUGUUUUUGUAUUUUUGUCUUGUUUUAUUUUUGUUUUAUUCAUGCAUUUGGUAGAAUUGUUUCAUGCAUCAUAUAUUUUAAUUUUUAGCACACACAAGCUUCAGGUUAGGAGGGGGACUAGCAGCUUACCUUAUGACUUUUAGUCAAGGUUUAAGUUUGUGUAAACCCCAACUCUUCGUUGAGUGCUUAGACUGGUAAUAGUUGGACAUGUGCCAUCUCAUUGCCUACAAGCCCCCAUAUUGCCUUCACGAGGGCAAUCACUGGGACAACAAGAGACCCUUUUUAGAGACCAAGUAGUAAACCUACCUUUUGUCUCACUUAAAAAGAUUAGAACCUGCCUUUAGGAUGUGCUCCGUAUACAUUGUUUUGCAUCAGGGCAAACCCUUCUUGAAGCAUCUUGAACUCAAGACUUUUGGGUGACCCAAUGGCCGUCACUCAGAAAAUUUUCAUUGUAGAGUUUGGGCAAGAAUCAAGAUUCUUGUUUCAUCAUACAAGAGUUACGACCAUAUGUCACCCCUCGAAGGGCGAGUUCUUCAUAUAGAUUACAUGUUCAUACAUUUAUCAUGCAUGUACCGGGAGGAAAAAUAGGUUCCCCCAUCCGAGCUUUGCUACACUUGAUUGAACAAAGAUGAUGAGAAAUGAAGAAAGGAGUCAAAGAGAGGCACAAAGUCAAAAGAAAGUUGAGAGCAUCAAAGGGGAAGUAGCUAGGCUCAGAUCUGCUUGAACAAGUGUAGAACAUCAAAGGGAAAGGGAAUGUCUGCACAAUCUUCUGUGGAAACACUGCUUGUCCACGUCCAAGUGAAGCUGCACCUCUCCAUUUCAGUCCUGAACAACAAUGGCUUUAGUCAUCAACUAAUGACAACUUUUGUUCUUGGUCAGCUGCCCUGUUAAUUGUUCAUCGCCUCCACAUCUUUCAAUAGCACCAAAUAACUGCUAGCCUUCUGUGCAUGGUGCAUUAGCCUUCUUUGACGUUACCCCAACUGUUAGCUCAAUUCCAGUUCAGCGGCACAAAAAAAAAAACAAAAAAAAAACACAAAAAAAAAACCCCGAAAAAAAAAACUGAAAAAACCAUGAUUAGACACUGAACUUCUACGUUGCAGAGCUCUCUCUGUAGAGAUUUGUUUGUGGAUUUGCCAAUGGGAAAUGCAAGAGGGGGUGUAGUAGUUUCAUAUGCCUUAAAACUUUCUCUCACCAGUGGCACCAGCAAAACAUUGUAGUAGGCAGAAGGGUGAGACCUGGUCUGAAAAUGUUAGCAGUCAUCAAACUUCAAUGUGGCAGAGCUCUCUCUACAAAAAUCCGUUUAUGGCUCUGCAAGUUGGGAAUGCAAGAGGGGAUUUAUUAGGUGCAUAUGCUAUAAAACUCUCUCAUCAGUUUCAGCACAAAGACAUUGUGGUAGGUUGAAGAGCCAAACCUGGUCUGAAAAACAUGAACAGACAUUAAACUUCAACGCGGCAGAGCUCUCUCUACAAAAAUUCGUUUGUGGCUCUGCAAGUGGGGAAUGCAAGAGGGGAUGCAGUACUUUCAUACGCUACAAAACUUUGGCUCAUCAGUUUCAGCACUGAAACACUGGAGUAGGCCGAAGAGUCAGACCUAGUCUGAAAACAUGAGCAGUCGUCGAACUUUGACGUGGCAGAGCUCUCUCUACAAAAACCCGUUUAUGGCUCUGCAAGUGGGGAAUUCAAGAGGGGAUGUAGUAGUUCCAGACAAUGUGAAAAUUUACCCCACCAGUUUCAGCAUCGAAACACUGUAGUAGGCAGAAAAGCCAGACUUGAGCUAGAAAACAGGAGCAAAUAUAGAACUUCACCGUGGCAGAGCUCUCUCUGCAGAAAUCUGUUUGUAGAUCUGCAAGUGGAGAAUCCAAGAAGGGAUGCAGUAGUUUCUGAUCAUCUAUAAUUUUCUCUCAUCGGUGUUAGCUUGAAAAUGCAAUAGAAGGGAAAAGAGACAAACCUCGGCUGAAAAAUAGAAAGAAGAUUGAAACUUCAACAGAGCAGAGCUCCCUCUACAGGUGUCUGUUUGCUGCACCAUCAGUGAGGAAUCAAAGAGGAGACAAAGGAGUUUCAGAUUCAUUAGUUUCUCCUCCAAUAAAAACAAUGCACAUUUCACGCAUUGACAGUGAUAGCGCUGCAUGAUUCUAUGCGCUGGCAAGAUUACCUAGCUGUUGGAAGGUUUCCAACAAUCCACAAAUGACCACAACAACAUUGGAAGAAUGACAUGAUGUUGUGAAGAUCAUCGAAAGAAUUAAGCUAGCUAUGAAGAUGAGAAGGAUUGAAGGUUCUGUCAAGAAUUCCAGAACAAUGAUGAGAGAUGAAUCAGGAGAUGACUCUAAAGAUGAGAAACCAUAGUUACUUGGUUUAGUCAAGUCUCACUGUAGCACCAGCUGCUCAAAUGUCUUUGCCAAGACUGACAUUUAUCUGCCACCCAAGUUGGACUACUAGCAUCUGUCAGAUUCCAGACUUUUUGCCUGACUCAGUUAAAUCCCAUGCAACCACCGUUUUCGAGGUGGUAUAAUCCAGACAAGAGAUGUGAUGUCAUGGUGGGGUCCUCAGCCAUUUCAAUUGAAUAAUUGCAAGAAUCGAGUCCGCAAAUUGGUGAGCAAAAGACGAGAGGAAUCUGUGAAGAAGCUUGUCAUUGAUCAUUUUGUUGCCAGAACAUCCUCAGAAUGACGAGUGAUCGAAAUUGCUCGGUAAACACAGAUAUUGCCAGAAUAGUUGAUCCAAGAAGGACGUUGAACUGUCAAUCAUGUUGUUAUGGAAUUUUUGUCAUUCUACAUUUUGUUUUGGGGUCACAUCUCAUCCUUGAACGAAACAUGUCUUUUCUUUGUCUUUUUGUUGUUUUGAAAUCAAGAGAUGCUUCUUUCAAAUGGUAUUUUGACAAAAAUAUUUUUUUUUUUGAUCAAACUCCAACAUACAAAAUUAAAGCUAGUCAAUCCUGAAGAUUAAAAGUGUUUUGAUUGCGGAAAUGACUUGAUGCUUGAAAAUGACAUGAGGUGACCAAACAAUUUUUGAACUCAUACUUCCUGAAACUGAACCACACAUCAUAUAGCUAGUUUUAGCAGUAUGCAUAAUGACAUGUAGUGGAUUCAAUAGUUAUGGACUCGUGAAUCAUGAUUCUUGCAAGUCCAAAUCAUUACACUGGAUGAGGUCAAAAUUUAUCGAUUCUAACCGACCUUGCUUGAAAUGAGAAAAGGCCAUCUUUGUUAUCCUUUCACAUUUCUUGAAAUAUUAUCCCUUGCAGUCCCAUUUUGAGCCUGGUAAAAUAUUUUCUUUCAAGAAAACCCUGACUAGGAUCACACCCCGCACUGGGGGCAAAUAAGAGAAGACAAAAGUGAAAGAGAAGGCUUAGAACAAAAGUUCAACGUUUGAGAGUGAGUUAAAAGAAAGAAGACCUAGACUGGGGGCAUGUUAGAAAACUAUGAGAAAUGCUAUGUGAAAGCCAUGACCUUUGACAUCCAUGAUAAAGCCCUGAAGUUAUCAGAUGAUUGAGUUUGGUUAUUCGUCAAAGAAAAAGUUGGAUUUGCAUAUAACCUAUGUUAAGAGAAUUCUGAUAUUUAAGGUUAAUAAGGUUAUAUGUCGUUUCCUCUACAAAGACAACAAUAGAAAAAGAGUUGAAAAAUAGUUUGAUGUUGAUCCUAGGUCUUUGAAACCCUCAAACACCUUUUGAGCCUGAAUUUUCCUUUCUUUCAUAAGCCAUGAACCAUAGCCUGCAUUACGUGUUUUAAAAAGCCCUUUUUAAUCAAGUAAGCAAUCUGAACCGAUAAAUGGCGAUCUCAAAAAUGGAAGAGUUGUUCCAUAAGGGUCGUGACUUCAUGGAUUAAGCUACGGGUUAUUAUGCAUGCUGAUAAAAUUGGUGCUAAAAAAGAAAACAAUCUUUCUUGAUGAAUCCUCAAGUUUUGACUUGAUCCUUUUGUUUCUUGAAAUUCACAGAAGGUCACCUCAUUGCAGACCGUGAAAAGAUAUACCCAAGAUCAAAGAUUAAAACUGACAUAAAAAACCAUGGAAAAAGUCAUUUUAAACUUACAAUGGGUCAUUUCUGUUUUCAAAAUACAAGACAAUCAAAGGACUAUAUUGAAUAGUGUGUGUUGGGUCUUUGACCAAAAAGCAUGAUUUUCAAAAGAUCUUUUCCAAAACUGAUAUCUCUUUGAUUUCAUUUCAACAAUUAGACUUGAAUUGACAUGAUCUUUGAAAUAUGAGAUUUGAUUCCAGAACAAGAAAGAUUGUCGAACAAUGAAGAACAUCGAGUGAGUCUGCGAAAUAUUUGACAUGAAAUGACAUCAACUCUUCUCAAUACUCCUUGAAAAAUUGAGACACCUGGAGGCAAUACAGUGGAUCAUGGGUAGGAAAACAAACAGUAUUCAGAUCAACUGGGGGCAAUGAAAGAUGAUUAAAUGAUGAAUCAGUGUACUGAAGACAAUGUUGUUCAAAGAAAGAUAAUCAAUGAACGAGCACAUUCAGAUCAUAUUGGGGGCAAUGUUGUUCAAAGACAGUCAGUGAUUUAGUGAACUUCAGCAGCAAUUGAUGAGCAACGCUGCACUUGAAGGGCAUUUUAUUAUCGUCAGCUAAAACAUGGCUAUGACGCCUAACAUAUGUUAUCAGGUGAGUGCAUUUGAAUGAACAUCGAAAGAUGAACAUCACCAAGACUGACUGUGGGACCAUCUAUUCUGAAUCUCAAAUGCGCACUUCACCGCGUGAAUAUGGGUGAUGAACAUCAUUGAGGAUGCCAACACAUUUCCUUUCAUGAUCUGAUUUGACAAGCUGAGAGGAAUCCAUGGAGAAGAACAUUGAGCUUACAACGAUGAGCCUUUUACUGCAAGGUAUGAGAUGUAUGUCUGGACGACUAGAUGAUUUCCAUGAAGACUGGUGAUAACAUAUACUUGAAGAGUAUUGUUUCAACUUGAGGAAAGUUUAUGACUGGUUGAUAAUCGUGAUGGUGUUGGCACGAUGCGCACAAUCAAUGAGAGAACAAUUCUCAGGAUAAUACAGAGGAUGAAUGAUCGGUUAAGAUCUUCAUGAUGAAUCAAGCAACACCACACUAGGGGGCAGAGUCAAGCUUGAUAAACAGCAAGAGCAGUAACCGUCGAAGACAGCCCAGGAUGUGCACGACACUUACAACUGAGGGGAUGGCUAGCACAUGAAUGAGCCAAUGCAUCGAAAGAACCAAUAAAGCUUUGGAAUGCAAACAAAGGCACCCUAUGACGAUGGAUCAUCAAAGGGGGGGGCCUAUAUUUCACAUCAGGUAAGGAUGCAUGCAUGUCAUCUAACCUCAAAGCAUUGCACAUACUUGUGAUUUGUUACAGAAAGAUCCUCAAUGUAGUUUAGCAAGAUUGGGGACCAAAAAAAAAAGAGAAAAAAAAGGGAGAAUCAUUGAGCUGAUAAUAACAAAGAAUCAUGGUUGUGACCUUGGAACGGGAAGAAGAUGAGAGAUAAACCUUACUGUUAGGAAAAUCUCAAAGAAAUGAAAAGAUCAACCUUGCAAUCAGGAAGCAUCGAGUUUUCAAACCCUGCGAUCAAGAAUUAUCAAGAAGCACCAAGUUUUCCGGCCCUUCUUCUAUCAUCCCUUCAGGACUUCGCCAGGUAAGUCCCAUUUUUCACACUUGUCACAUCACAUCUUUCAGUUGGGUAGGUCACCCAUAACAAUGAGACCAUUUCACAUUUUUUCUAUCCUCCACAUGGGUAGGUCACCCAUAAUAAUGAGAUCGCUUCAUAUUUUUCUCAUCUUCCAUCUGGGUAGGUCACCCAUUACAAUGAGACCGCUUCAUAUUUUUUAUAUCCUCCACCUGGGUAGGUCACCCAUAACAAUGAGACCACUUCACAUUUUUUCUAUCUUCCACAUGGGUAGGUCACCCAUAAUUCCACAUGGGUAGGUCACCCAUAAUAAUGAGACCGCUUCAUAUUUUUCUCAUCUUCCAUCUGGGUAGGUCACCCAUUACAAUGAGACCGCUUCAUAUUUUUUCUAUCUUCCACUUGGGUAGGUCACCCAUUACAAUGAGACCACUUCAUAUUUUUUUUAUCUUCCACCUGGGUAGGUCACCCAUAACAAUGAGACCACUUCAUAUUUUUUCUAUCUUCCACUUGGGUAGGUCACCCAUUAUAAUGAGACCACUUCAUAUUUUUUCUAUCUUCCACGUGGGUAGGUCACCCAUAACAAUGAGACCACUUCACAUUUUUUCUAUCCUCCACAUGGGUAGGUCACCCAUAAUAAUGAGACCACUUCACAUUUUUUCUAUCUUCCACGUGGGUAGGUCACCCAUAACAAUGAGACCACUUCACAUUUUUUCUAUCUUCCACCUGGGUAGGUCACCCAUUAUAACGCGACCACUUCAUAUUUUUUCUAUCUUCCACCUGGGUAGGUCACCCAUAACAAUGAGACCACUUCACAUUUUUUCUAUCCUCCACCUGGGUAGGUCACCCAUUAUAAUGAGACCGCACUUCACAUUCUUUCCAUUUGGGUAGGUCACCCAUCAUAAUGAGACCGUUUUCCACAUCAUUUUUCUUGGGUUAGUCACCCAUACAAUGAGACCACCAUUUUUCUGGGGUUCGUCACCCAUACAAUGAGACUACCAUUUUUCUGGGGUUCGUCACCCAUACAAUGAGACCAUCAUUUUUCUGGGGUUCGUCACCCAUACAAUGAGACCACCAUUUUUCUGGGGUUCGUCACCCAUACAAUGAGACCAUCAUUUUUCUGGGGUUCGUCACCCAUACAAUGAGACCACCAUUUUUCUGGGGUUCGUCACCCAUACAAUGAGACCAUUAUUUUUCUGGGGUUCGUCACCCAUACAAUGAGACCACCAUUUUUCUGGGGUUCGUCACCCAUACAAUGAGACCACCAUUUUUCUGGGGUUCGUCACCCAUACAAUGAGACCAUUAUUUUUCUUGGGUUAGUCACCCAUACAAUGAGACCAUUAUUUUUCUUGGGUUAGUCACCCAUACAAUGAGACCACCAUUUUUCUGGGGUUCGUCACCCAUACAAUGAGACCAUCAUUUUUCUUGGGUUCGUCACCCAUACAAUGAGACCAUUUGUUCCACCUUCUUUGUUUUGGUUUAAUGAGGUCGCCAGAUGGGAUCUCAUGUAGCUUUGGUUAAAGGGAAUCGCCAGAUGGGAUUUCAGGUUGACCGAGCUACACACAUUUUUUUAGUUUUGGUUUAAUGAGGUCGCCAGAUGGGAUCUCAUGUUGGUUCUGGUUAAAGGGGAUCGUCGGACGCGAUCUCAGGUUAGCCCAACCACGCAGAUUUUGAUUUUGGUUCAAGGAGAUCGCCCGAUGGGAUCUCACAAAAAAAAAAGAAGAGAGAAAAAGAGAGAAAAAGAGCAAGGUCUUUAGAUGAGUGGAUUUUGAGCAGACAGAAAGGCAAGUUUUUCUUUACAAAGCUUACUAUGCGAAACAUUGAGGAGUUUUGCUUCGUAAGCAUUGCAUCUGUUGCUACCCAAUUUUUGACCCAUGUUUUGAUAAAUUUUCAGAAAAUCCAAAAAUAGCAAAAAAACAUAAAACAUUGAAAAUCCAAAAAAUACAUUUUUAAUACAUUUGCAUCGUUUUUAGCAUUUUUAGCAUCGUCUCAAAAGAAAGACAUUUGGAACGCGUUCAACUUUUAACGCGUUGUUUUUAAAAUUAUUGAUUUUCUUCAUUGAGUUGACGUUGAUAUUACUUGUUUUCAAAAAAAAAUACAAAAAAAUUAAGAAAAAUCAAAUUUACAAAAAAAAAGAAAGUUGAGGGACCAAUUUUGAGAUCCAUGCAACAUUUUACCUAUAAAUACUGGUCCACAACUCAAACAAGAGGGGGGGGCAAUUUUGCAAUUAUAGGGGCAACAAAAAACCCUAGGGGCUGAACAUUUUUUUUCUCUUCUCUUCACCCGGAGCCGCCAGCCCCCCAUCCUGAUCAGAUUUUUAUCUUCUUCUCCCUCACAAGGCUGCCCCCUGGCUUGGCCAAAAAACAAGGAGAACCAAAGCCACGGCAAAAACCCCCUGCCUCUCCUCUCUUCCAAGCCGCCGUUCACAACCUCCUCCCACCGAAGAACCCAGCGGCGGCCGACAGCAGCACCACCACACAGCCAGCUUAUUCUCCUUCCUCAUCCAUAGAAGUCAGCAGCUGCUACACCUCCUGCCCCCACACCGGACUAGUCCCUUUCUUCCAGCCGUUCCUCCAGCGCCAACACACCCGAUCUCCUCAGCACCGCCACCGGGCUCAUCCUUCAACCGACCUCCAGACCAGCCCGAACACAGCGGCAGCAAAAGACAGCCCUCCUCCAGCCGUUCCCCCAGCUUCAGCAGCCGGCAGAAUCGCACUGCCAGUAACCCACCCUCAGCAAAACCCUUCAGCAACCGGUCCUCCCCCGAUCUCUUCAUCUCCAUCAACAACAAAGCCAGCCGGACGAACGACAGCAGCUCAGUGACCACAGCUGCGACCCCCUUUGCAACAGCUGGAUCGGCCACCGGAAGCAGAGAAGAAGGCGAAACUAAAAGAAGACAGAUCCAAGAGAAGAAACCGAAGCAGAUCUAAACCAAAAACCGAGAAGGAAAGGAGACAGCUGGUUGUUGCGUUUGUGUUUCUUUUUGCAGGUGACGGUGGCUCUCACCGCCGGCGUAGGAAGAAAGAGGGGAAGAAGUCGAUCCAGAUCCCCCCUGUUUCUGGAGUUCCUUGCGGCGGCGCGUGAACCCACGCGCCGCCAGUGACGGUGGUGCGUGGGAAGACGCGCCGCCACUGUUCAUGCUGUUCCAGAAGGGCUUUCCUGCAAUUUCUGGAGUUUUAGGGACUAUUUUGUAAUUUUAAAUUAUGUAAUGUAAAUUUUUUGUAGUGUUUAAUUUUUUAUAAUUUUGUAAUUUGAUGUACAAAAAAAGAAAGAAAAAGAAAAAGAAAAGAAAAGAAAACGAAAAAAUAUAGUGAAAGUGUAUGUGUGUUUUGUAUUUUUUUUAUGUACGUUAUUGAAUCAAAAAAAAAAUGAAUUUAAUAUUUUUAAUUUAUAUGCACAAAUAUCUAAAGGACAGAUAAAAAUCAUGUUGUACUCCCUUAAAAAUGUAGAACAUGUGUCUACAUACAUUUUGGGAACUAAUAACUGAUUUAUCAAAGCCUUAGAAUUGGGCUAAAAUUUUAUUUUUAAAACGCAUCAAGUCCACGAAGCAGCUUACCUCAGGUAGGGUGCGUUAGGGGUGCUAAUACCUUCCCUAACCACAACCAGUCCCUUACUCGUGAAUCUCUGAUGAGACCGGCACACCCGGGUUUCCUAGUAGCCCUCAAUUAAAUACUAGGUGGCGACUCCCAACGAACCAAUCAAAGCAAAACGAACAACGAUAAAAUCGCCAGCCGAUGCCGCGCGCCGAUUUUUUUUUGACGUGCGACAUAGACUUUGAACCCAAGUUCGUUCAUCAUAGCAGACUUAUCCUAGGAAACUGAUGGGAUUAGAGAAUAUCAACACCAUAGCAAUUAUAGGCAAACCAAACACCAAGCAGCUUACCUUAGGUAGGGCGUACUAGGGGUGCUAAAACCUUCCCUUUACGCAACCAGUUCCUUGCCUUAGAAUCUCUGAAAGACCAGUUAGGUUUCCUAGUGACUAUAAUACUAGGUAGCGACUCCCUUUUUCACAAAACAAAGACCCCAACAUCAAUCCCUGCUACAAGGAAGGGUCGCCGCGACGUCGAGCUCUCGAGAGGGUACGACAACAUCAUUGAAAUUAUUCACAUUAUUUUGUGAUGGAUAAGAUACGUAAGAUAAGCCAGAUCAUUCGAUUGAAGAAUCAGAAAGGGAUCGUGACAUUGCCAGUCAAGAAGGAACAUGAGACAUAUCAGCAACAGCUUCUACUAAUGAGCAGUGGAAGAGUGUCUGACCACAUUGAUGAGUUGUGGAAAUGUCUUUGCUUUGCUUCACUUUUGUAGGAAAGGAUACCACGUACAAUUCUACAGUUGUAUUAAAUUUGUUACCUUUCUCUUUAAGACAUAGGAAAUCGUGACAAAUUAAAAGCAUUUUCGUCUAGAAAGGUCUUAUUUAUAUGAACUACCAUGCGCCUCUUACAAAAGCUUUCAAUCUGUCUUAUGUCAUAUUCAUUGAAAAUUGUACUGUAUUAAAAAGAUAUUAUCAAUACUUAAACAUCUUUAAAUUAUAUUUGAGGUAGGCUGAAUUACUAUAUUUGUUUUAAAUUGUUAAAAUUUUAUUAGUUUAUACUAUGAAGUUUGCUUGUAAUAUUUAUGACUCUAACGUCAUUGAAUAUUCAAUAACGAAUACUUCCAACUCUACCAUUAAUAAAUAUUAUAUAAUAAAAAAAAAUACAGUAUUUUAGAUUCUGACAUCAGCAAAUAAACUAGUAAAAUGAUUUUCAAUCAAUGCAUGCAUAUUUUUUUCUAAAAGAAUAUUGUAUACUAUAUUUGCAUUUCACAAUAAAAAUUCACAUAUUCAUUAUAUAAUAAAAUACUUAAAACUAACGUGAGUAGCUUACAAAUAAAUUUAAAAAGGUUUAUGAAUUUUUGAAAAUUUUCUUAUAUCUAAAAAUGACUAUUUUACUAAAUAUCGCAAUAAAAAAAAAUAAAAAGAUAAGAUAUAAGGUUGUGUCUUGCCAGACACAUCUUUAACUUCUCAAUCUCAGCUUUUUUUCCUUUUUUGUGGGUUUGACUCAACUUGUAUAGACUGGACUUGAUCUAAUGAGGCCUGAUUACUUGUCCAAGCCAUUGACCGGGCUGGCUGAGAUGAGAAGCACGCGUGAAUUUUUUUCACGGUGCAUGAGAAGUGCAAAGGUAAUUAAAUUACCUUAGCACAGUAUCAAUUCUCAUUUGCAGAUCGACAAGAAAGCAAGUGAACUCACCUGGACGAAGACGAUGACAAUUCCGUUUUGGUUUCUGCGUUUUCGACUUGCGUUUUCUUUCUGUUUGCUGGCUUUUCUCUGUGUUUGUUCGCCUGGCUUUCUCUCUGAUUUAGGAGACGGAGACGUGAUGGAUGACUGGCCAAAGCUCUGCUUCGGUUCUUUGUAUGCUCCUGUGUUGUCCUCCUGUCACCUGUGCACUUCUUUCUCUCUUUUUUAGCUCAUCUUUCUGGGUAGGUUUCUGGUUUGAGGCUGGUGCUGAAGAAAGGGGAAGCCGACGCUGCUACUUUUUAGUUUCCUCUGCUUUUUGGAUAUUCCUGGGCUGGGUUCCUUUGGCUCAGUCUCCUUCUUGUGUUUGUCUGUCUCUCUCUCCAGUGCUGGAGAUGGCUAAGACAAUGGUCACACUUUCCUCUGGUUUUUCACCAGUUUUUCCUCCCCGUUUGCGUCUUCGUCUUCCUGUGCUCGGUGCUCCCCCCCUGUUUUUCGUCCUUUCUCUGGCUUUUAUAAAAGCCAGAGAAUGCCAUGCGGUCGCCUCCAAAUACUGAGGCGACCGACCGUUGCUAAUGCUGGAGUAAUGGCGAUCGUGGGGGCGUGGGCAGCUGGCGUCCCUUUGUGUUUUUUUUUUUUUUUUGUUCACUUUUUUCUCCCUGGUGAGAUGAGAUGAAUAGUGCAUCUUGAAACGUCACCGUUUUUGAGAUGGGAAUUCCCAUUUACAGUUUGGUCAAUGAAGUCUGGAUAUGUUGUAAUCAAGCCCCUGGGUAAAUUGUAAUUGGACCCCUUCAUUUCAGAGUCAUUCAUACAAUGGUCCUCGGAUAUUAAUUUCUUGCAAUAUUAACCCGAAUCAGCCCUAAACUUUGGUAUUUCUUCAAUUAAGCCCCUGAUUUCAUUAAUUAAAGUAAUCCCAAGUUCAAUUAAUUCCCCAAACUUAUCGAUUCUUCAAUUAAGCUAUUGGUUUGAUUAAUUAAACUACUCCAAAGUUUAAUUAAGUCCCAAACUUUCAAUUUAUAUAGUCUUGACCCAAAUUUCAAUUUAUUCUUCAUUCAUUUCAUUUUUUCUUUUGCUUUUUUUUAUUUCAUUCAUUUUUUUAUCAUCACUUAUUUUUUAUUAUUUUUUUCUAUAAAAAAAUAAAAAUAAAAGGAUUCAAAAUUUGGGUUAUGAUAAAAAUUAUUAAUAAUUAUUUUAAAUUUUAAAUUUCUUUCAAGUCACAAACUUCUUGAGUUUUGUUAAUAAAGCUUAUGCACAACAUUUUCAUUAAACUACCUAAAUUUUAAUAAUAAUAAAAAAUCAUAAACAAUAUUUUGACUAGACUUAUUUGCACCCACGUGAUGCCACCCAAUAUAACAAUUAACAAAGCAAUACAAUUAACAAAACAAGUUUUUUUGAUAUGUUAAUAUUAAUUAUUAAAAAAAUCUAAAAAUUAUUAUUUUAAUAUAUUUUUAAUUAAAAACUACUUUUAAAAAAAUAACUUAUCACAUUACACGAUACUCAUUAGUGCCGAGGGCAGGCAUGUGAUCGUGAGAAAAGUGCUCACAAAAAAGCUUAGACAAAGACAAUACAGGAGAGUUUUGCCUCGUUUUCACUUUAAGUUUGAAGGACACAAAACAAGAGAGUUCAUUCGUUUUUUUUUUUUAAGUAUUUAAAAAAAUAAAAUUUUAUUUUUGCUUAAAAUUAUUUUUAUCUAUUUUAAAAUUAUUUUAAUAUAUUGAUAUAAAAAUAAUUUUUAAAAAAUAAAAAAAUAUAUUAUUUUAAUAUAUUUUUAAAUAAAAAAAUAUUUUAAAAAACAACCAUUAUCAUAUUCUCAACACACCCAUUUAAAUAAAAAUAAAACCCACCGUAUAAGUGUUUUUUGUUUCCUGGCGGCAUUUUAGAUAGUUGAGUCCAGGUUCCAUUCAAGAUUAAACCAUUAAUAUUCUUGAAAUUGUUCUAUGUGAUAUAAGUUCUCUAUCAGAAAACUUAUUCAACAGAGCGCAAUUGGGCUUUGAAAUUCCUCACAAAAUCAUCAGACUAGUAGGGCUAUAAAAAAAAUAGUGAAAAUAAUUUUCUACCGACCAUACUGACGGGGUCACCUACAAUAAAACAUCUUAAUUAAAGAACAUCUAUAUCAACUUGAUCAAAAUGCAAUUGGAAGUUAUUUUUAAUUGUAUCGUCAAAUCUAAUAGCUUGCAAGUAAGGGGAGUGUUUUUCUUAAUGAAAUUCAAACUCAAUUAUUAUAUUUUAUUUAAUAACAAUUGUCGCACGUCAAAAAAAAAUCAGCGCGGCAUCGGCUGGCGAUUUUAUCGUUGUUUGUUUUGCUUUGAUUGGUUCGUUGGGAGUCGCCACCUAGUAAUUUAUUGAGGGCUACUAGGAAACCUGAUGUACUGGUCUUCUCAGAGAUUCAAGGGUAAGGGACAGGUUGUGGUUAGGGAAGGUAUUAGCACCCCUAACGCACCCUACCUGAGGUAAGCUGCUUCGUGGACUUGAUGCAUUUUAAAAAUAAAAUUUUAGCCCAAUUCUAAGGCUUUGAUAAAUCAGUUAUUCGUUCCCAAAAUAUAUGUAGAUACAUGUUCUACAUUUUUAUGGGAAAUACAACAUGAUUUUUAUCUGUCCUUUAGAUAUUUGUGCAUAUAAAUUAAAAUAUUAAAUUCAUUUUUUUUCUUUGAUUCAAUAACAUCCAUAAAAAAUAUACACAAACACACACAUCUCUUUUACUAUUAUUACUUUCUCUUUCUUUUCUUUUCUUUUCAUCCACAAUACAAAUUAUACACAUUCAAAAAAAUAACUACACAAAAAUUACAUCAAACACUUUAAAAAUUACAGAAUAACCCAAAACAUCCCAGAACAGUGUCAGGAAGCCUUCUGGAACCGCUGGAACAGUGGCGGCGCGUUGCCCAACGCGCCACCGCCACUGGUGGCGCGUGGAUUCACGCGCCGCCGCCGAUGAAGGGGACAGAAUCCGGUGAAUCGGGGACCUCUUCCUCUUCUCUGCCUCCCUACGCCGGAGGUGACCUGCAAAACAACCAGGAACGCAGCAAGCAGUUGAUUUUACUCUUUUUUUUAUUUUUAGAUCUGUUUCCUCCGGUCGGUUCUUUCCAGAUCUGCUUCAAAGUAAACCUCUCUUUGAUUUACAUCUGCUCCUUCUGCCGAUGGCAGGUCUGGUGGAGGCGGAUCGCGGUGGACGCGGGCGGAUCCGCCGGUGCCUGAGGGCUUCGGUGUGGAGCAGAAAGGAGGCGUUUCCUGGUGGGGCUGGAUCCGUGGGCCACUGGCAGUGCGAUUCUGCCGGCGUUUCGGCGAGCUGGCCGCUGGUUCAGGAGGAAAGAGCUGUGGGAGGCCGCGGCUGAGGAAGAAAGUGGGGGUUGUAUUGUGGGUCUUGCCGCUGUCGUCUGCUGGCUGCUGCCGUUCGGUUGCUGUGGAAGAGACCGAAGGAGAAAGAAGAUCUGUUGAAGCUGGUCGGUUGACAGAGAACGGCUUCGGGUGCAGGGGAAGAAGGAGACGGUGGAAGUGUGGGUGGUGCUAGUUUGGGGAAGGAGAAAAGGAUGAUCGGUUGAGAGGGGAAGUGAUGCAAACAAUGAGGAAGUCUUGGUUUUUUUUGCUAAGGAACCGGGGGGAGUGAAGGGGAGAUAGUGGAACCGAGAGAGAAGAUGUCAGGGGCAGACGUGAGGCUUGUGGCUAGUUUGUGGGUAGAAGCUGUGGUGGUCUGCUGUGAGGGUGGAGAGGCAGAGGUGGAAGGCUGAAAUGGCAGGGGAAAUGGCGAUGGGGGGGCUGUGUGCAGAGAAGAAAAAAAUCUCUGGGGGGCGGCGGCGGCUGGGUGUGAAAGAGAUAGGUUUAGGGUUUCUCUUUCCCUUUUUGUUUGUCAAAAUUGCCCCCCCUAUUGUUUGAGUUGUGGACCAGUAUUUAUAGGUAAAAUGUUGCAUGGAUCUCAAAAUUGGUCCCUCAACUUUCUUUUUUUUGUAAAUUUGAUUUUUCUUAAUUUUUUUGUAUUUUUUUGAAAACAAGUAAUAUCAACGUCAACUCAAUGAAGAAAAUCAAUAAUUUUAAAAACAACGCG
rnacentral:lncRNA from 1 species